rnacentral:rRNA from 1 species
GAUGAAAGCUGGCGGAGUGCCUAAUACAUGCAAGUCGAGCGAAGCGGGGACGGGUGAGUAACACGUGGAUAACCUAAUAUAAGACUGGGAUAACUUCGGGAAACCGUAGCUAAACCGGAUACUUAGAGAUGGAUCCGCGCUUCAUUAGCUAGUUGGGAAGUUAACGGCUUACCAAGGCAACGAUGCAUAGCCGACCUGAGAGUGUGUUCGGCCAAACUGGAACUGAGACACGGGCCAGACUCCUACGGGAGGCAGCAGGAGGGAAUCUGCCGCAAUGGGCGAAAGCCUGACGGAGCAACGCCUCGUGAGGUAUGAAGGCCUUCGGAUCGUAAAACUCUGUUAUUAGGGAAGCGGUACCUAAUCAGAAAGCCACGGCUAACUACGUGCCAGCAGCCGCGGUAAUUC